rnacentral:lncRNA from 1 species
UAAGCUUCACCUACAAGUACGUACGUAGCAAGAAUCAUUUUAUGUUCAGUAGCCACCCCUAAAACUCUGAAUGCCUUUUCAAUUGCCUUUAACCAUCCUUCAGCUUCAAUAAAAUUCUUUGUACUAGUGAAUAUAAAGGCCUGAAACUAAAAGAAAAGGGUUUAUUAUUUAAAUAUGAAAGCGAAUAAUAAAGUUAGAAUUUAUAUUUUUUACACAGUAAAUUAGAAUGCUCAAUAGGGUUACGGAAAUGUCCCUACUAAAAUAGCUCAUAAAAAGAAACAAAUAAAUGGCUUAAAACAAAUAGAUAAAGAUUCCAGGGGUUAACCUCCACUAACUCUUGAAGAGGCUCUGAGAGGUAAACUACUCGCAAUCUUCUUACUGAUCGGGAUCUGGAUCUUGAUCCUCUUGAUCUAAAUUGAUUAAUAUAAGAGUGAGCUAUACUAGCAUAGUAAGAAUAUUAUAUUAAUCACUGAUAAGAAAAACUGAAGGUUGGUAAAAAUCACAAAAACAACUAAUGAAGUCCUUAAUUUAAGUAAAUUCAUUUAUCAUGAAGAAAACCGUUCGUUUCAUACUUCCUGUUACGAGUUUCCUAAAAAUCAACAUAUGAAGAAUAGUAACCAAAUGACAUUUUAAUUUAAUGUGCAAGAUUAGUAAUUCUUCUUUUUUAACAUACUUACUAGUACCAUUGGAGAACCAUAGGGAUGUUUCCCCCACACGUGAACCCAAUAUCCAAAUUUAUCAAUUAAUUAGUCGUUCUCAUAUCCCGUCUGGUAAUGAGUGCCAAACAUUCUAUUACCUUGAUAUCCC